rnacentral:rRNA from 1 species
GCAAGUCGAACGGCAGCACGGGAGCAAUCCUGGUGGCGAGUGGCGAACGGGUGAGUAAUAUAUCGGAACGUGCCCAGUCGUGGGGGAUAACGCAGCGAAAGCUGUGCUAAUACCGCAUACGAUCUAUGGAUGAAAGCGGGGGACUCGCAAGAGCCUCGCGCGAUUGGAGCGGCCGAUAUCAGAUUAGCUUGUUGGUGGGGUAAAAGCCCACCAAGGCGACGAUCUGUAGCUGGUCUGAGAGGACGACCAGCCACACUGGAACUGAGACACGGUCCAGACUCCUACGGGAGGCAGCAGUGGGGAAUUUUGGACAAUGGGCGCAAGCCUGAUCCAGCAAUGCCGCGUGCAGGAUGAAGGCCUUCGGGUUGUAAACUGCUUUUGUACGGAACGAAACGGCUCUCUCUAAUAAAGGGGGCUAAUGACGGUACCGUAAGAAUAAGCACCGGCUAACUACGUGCCAGCAGCCGCGGUAAUACGAAGGGACCUAGCGUAGUUCGGAAUUACUGGGCGUAAAGCGCGCGUAGGCCGUUGAGUUAGUUAAUUGUGAAAUCCCAAAGCUUAACUUUGGAACUGCAAUUAAAACUGCUCGACUAGAGUUUGAUAGAGGAAAGCGGAAUACAUAGUGUAGAGGUGAAAUUCGUAGAUAUUAUGUAGAACACCAGUUGCGAAGGCGGCUUUCUGGAUCAACACUGACGCUGAGGCGCGAAAGUAUGGGUAGCAAAGAGGAUUAGAUACCCUCGUAGUCCAUACCAUAAACGAUGAUUGCUAGAUGUUGGAAAUUUAUUUUCAGUAUCGCAGCUAACGCAUUAAGCAAUCCGCCUGGGGAGUACGACCGCAAGGUUAAAACUCAAAUGAAUUGACGGGGACCCGCACAAGCGGUGGAGCAUGUGGUUUAAUUCGAAGAUACGCGCAGAACCUUACCACCCUUGACAUGUCUGUCGCGAGUUUAGGAACUAGACUUUU